AAACGCGCUGCGUCCCCGCUCGCAAGCGGCGACAUUUCGGAGGUUAAUAGCUCGGGUGUGGAGAACGCAGUACUGGGCUGGUUUGGGAGGCUGCAGGGUCUGCCGGAGGAAAAUCAUGGAAAUUUAAGAACACACAGGGCUCCCGAAAAAAAUUCAGCCUGCACACUGGGGAUCGUCUUUUGCCUGCCAAAAGCAGUUAGCUUUUUACGUACCACGCUAAUUUAAUUAUGGGUCUUUUUCAAAAGUCGCCAUUCGUCCAUGAGCACAGGAGAUGCUUCACCCACCGAGGGGCCCCCUGAAGCUCCAGUGGCUGUCACAGACCAGGAGCCAUGGGGCAGACCCGCUGUUCUGCACGGUGAUUUCCCUACCGUACCCGCUCUGCCGACACCACCUCAGGGAGAGAAUGCGGCACUGAAUUCCCUUACACAGCUGAUCUGGCUCGUGCUGAGACCCCGGCACGCUUGCUCUCCAGCGACCCGAGUGGGAUGUCACCCACCCCGCUGGCAUCCGUCCAUCAUCGCAUCGGCGGGGCGUGGGGCUUCUGUCAUUAAACCCACAUGCAAAAAAAUACUUUCUCAAAGCGGUUGUUAUUCUACCAAAGUACCGUUCCAGCAGUUUUGGUUCAGUUCCAUUUAUUGGUUUAAUAUACACCCCCACCCCAAAAUUAGAAAAAACUAACAUUUUGAAACAACUUUUGCUUCUUCAUCAGUAUUGACGGAUCAGUAUUUCCCUUUUAUUGCCUUUCAUGCUAUGGAUCUUCCAAAUAAAAAGUGUAUUUAAUUAGAAAAUAAAUGUAUUAGCAUCUAAACACA